GGAAGGGUAGCUCAGGGGUAGAGCGCGUCGUGGCGUCGUCCACGACGGUCAGUGCAAGGCUUCGCGUGGUUCGAAUCCCGCCCCUUCCG
rnacentral:tRNA from 1 species